GUUGGAUACGGACUCCUAGUAAAGCAGACAUUUAUCUCUUGUCUGUCAGGCGAUUGAAAUACUUCCAGACUCAGCGAACAGACGGCAGCACAGCAGCAGCAGACAGGAUGAAAGUCCCUGUGUCCUUUGUGCUGGUGCUAGCAUUCAUCUGUCUUAGCCACAGCCUGGAACUACAAAAUGCACUGGACAGGUUGAAAAGGUCUCAGGAACAUGUGGUGUCAGACCCCAGUGACUGUGUGUCCAGGACCAGGCAGCCAGUCUCAGCAAACCCUCACAAUUUUUCUGUGGACAUUCGGAUGCCUGCGGUUGUCCCAGCUGCAGUGAGUCACUUUCUUUGAA